GACGAACGCUGGCGGCGUGCCUAAUACAUGCAAGUCGAGCGAGCGGAACCAACAGAUUUACUUCGGUAAUGACGUUGGGAAAGCGAGCGGCGGAUGGGUGAGUAACACGUGGGGAACCUGCCCCUAAGUCUGGGAUACCAUUUGGAAACAGGUGCUAAUACCGGAUAAUAAAGCAGAUCGCAUGAUCAGCUUUUGAAAGGCGGCGUAAGCUGUCGCUAAGGGAUGGCCCCGCGGUGCAUUAGCUAGUUGGUAAGGUAACGGCUUACCAAGGCGACGAUGCAUAGCCGAGUUGAGAGACUGAUCGGCCACAUUGGGACUGAGACACGGCCCAAAACUCCUACGGGGAGGCAGCAGUAGGGAAUCUUCCACAAUGGACGCAAGUCUGAUGGAGCAACGCCGCGUGAGUGAAGAAGGUUUCGGAUCGUAAAGCUCUGUUGUUGGUGAAGAAGGAUAGAGGUAGUAACUGGCCUUUAUUGACGGUAAUCAACCAGAAA
rnacentral:rRNA from 1 species